rnacentral:lncRNA from 1 species
GAUACAGGGUGGAACUUCCUUCCAUCCAGAGGAUCUCCCAGCUCAGGCUCAUCCUGGAGCCAGCUCUGCAGAGGGAACAUGGGGGGAGGCGACUCACACCAUGACCUGUGUGGAGGUGGCCAUGGUCGGGUGAACCAAUGAACCAAGACUCCUGAGUGUGUUAAGUCCAAAGAGCAGGACUCCGUGAAGGAAAGAGGGAAGAGCUGCAGCGGGGAGGCUGAACAGGGCGGCUGUCUGCCCACACCCCUGCUAUCAGCCUGUGAGCUCAGGGACUGACUCUGCUUCUGAGUACAUAAAACCUCCAGUCCCAAGUGGCUACCUGGUCCACAGGCACACCCACCUUCCCCCUCAGUGGGAUUUUCUGUGGGGCCUGCAGCAGGGACAGUCUCAGGUGUGGGGAGAGCCACUGCCUUGAAAUCCAGCUAGCAUCUUGACCCAGCCCGAUUUUAACAACGGCUUGAAGAAACAAACUUACCAUGAAAAUGCAGGGCAGUCCAGCCUUGUGCAGACAAAGGAGAAAUGAGCCUCACUCGGGCAAACAGUGCUGGCGACCUCCUCUCCCUCCCUCCACCAAGGAAAACAAAAGAAGGGCAAGGCCCAGAGUGGACAGAGGCUUCUUCCCUGGGUCAGAGAAACACGAGGUCUCGGGGCCCAAAUCCCAGCGCUGCCUGGAGGAAAGGACCCAGCACCUCCCAGCAAAGGCCUCUGUCCACAGCUCCCUUAGUCUGGGGCAGGGAAAUCUGUCUGCACCUUGCCUUGGCUUCUUUCCCUGGGCCCUGGGGGACAACUGCCUAUCCGCUUUCCCCCUCAGGAACAGGGACACAUUAGCAAGGUGACCAGUGUGUCCCAGUUGGCCCAGAUUGUGCUGGUUUUAAAACGGAGAGUCCUGGAAACCCCUUCACCUGGGCAAACCAGGACGGUGGAGCACGGGGCAGGACGAGCAGCAGGACGAGCAGCAGGUCAGCCCUGGGGCCCACAGCUGCCGGAGGCUUCCUGGUCACUGUCUGUUCCCAAGCGCCUGAACUUAACCCUAACCCUACCCCUAACCCAAAUUCCACUCACCACUGGCAAAACUGUCCUCUGUCCUGGACUACCUCCGCCCUGGCCAGGGUGCUCAAGGCCCUGUUGGUGGUCGAGGGGUUCCUAUGGAUCCCGGACCCUGGCCUGGGCCUAAUCGGAGCCCGCCUGGGCCUCUGACCACCAUCUCUCUCUGCUCUGCUGUCAAGGAC